UGGGCAAACUUCGUCACAAACUUUAAUCAUGCAGUUUUUGAUGAAAUCCCCUCCGUAAAUGGCCGGGCUGAUUUAGCGAUCUCUUCUGCCAAAAUAAAACUGGCCUUGACAGCAGCCUGGCCUUGUGAUUUGGCUUUUUUGAACAGAGCCUGUCGAGAUUUGAGGCCUCGUUUUAAUUCCUCUGCCUUUUGUAGCCUUUGUUCCAUGUCCAUAUUCUUGUUUUUGUCCGCGUGUUUCGUUUCAUAAUGUCGUCUCAGAUUAUACUCUUUCAGUACCGCCACACUUUCUCCACACAGAAGACACACAGGUUUUCCAGCUACCUCCGUGAACAAAUACUCCGACUCCCACCUUGUUUGAAACCCCGGUUCUCAGUGUCCACCUUCCGUUUUGCCAUUUUUGAUGGGUAUCUGAAAGUUAAUUUUACUGUGAUGCUGACAACUGCUGUGCCAAUAAAUAUUGAAAUGAAGCAGCCUACUGCUCGGUGCGUCACCGUUGCAUUGUGGGAAAUGUAGUAUUGGUGCGUGUAAAAGAUCUGCGGGCUGCCGGCUUGCUGCGGUCUGCGGGCCGGUUCUAAUAAUAAAUCAAGAUCAUCCCAGGGGCCGUAAAAAACCUUCUCGCGGGCCGGAUGUGGCCCGCGGGCCUUGACUCUGACAUAUGUGUUCUAGACGAUUCUGUGCUUUCAACUUUGUGGCAACAGUUUGGGAAGACCCUUUGCUUAUUCAGCACGAUAAUGCCCCCAUGCACAAAACGAUGACCAUAAAAAAAUGGUUUGUUGAGAAGAACUUGACUGGCCUGCACAGAGCCCUGACCUCAACUUCAUCAAACACCUUUGGAAUGAAUUAGAACGCCGACUGCGCGCUAGGCCUAAUUGCCCAACAUCAGUGCCCGACCUCACUAAUGCUCUUAUGGCUGAAUGGAAGCAAGUCCCUGCAGCAAUGUUCCAACGUCUAGUGGAAAGCCUUCCCAGAAGAGUGGAGGCUGUUAUAGCAGUAAACGGGGGACCAACUCCAUAUUAAUGCCCAUGAUUUUGGAAUGAGAUGUUCAACAAGCAAGUGUCCACAUACUUUUGGCCAUGUAGUGUAUAUUAAAUCUGUUUUAUAAGACUUGGUUUAUUGUUCAUAUUUGCUAUUGUCUUGAUACGGUUGUUGUGUUGUCUGUAAGUGUGAUUCAGCUUGUCCUUCACGCCUCAUGACACUAGUCAGCACACUGUAAUAAGGCUGGCAUAGGCAGGAGUAGGACUGCUCUCUGGCAUCAAAACUAACACCACAUCCUGUUCAGACGGAGAUUAAGACAGACAGUAAGCAGGCGCCAAAAUGAAAGAAGCAAAUUGUUGACAAGACCAACAAAAGAAAAAGAGAACAAUCCUUUCACGUCGCAAUUAAUAUUAUGACUUCAUAAUCAUGUAUCCAAUCCAUGGAAUGUUUAUCAAAAAUCUUUUGCGACUUAGGCUUCUCAUUCUCGCGAGGGACUCCGGUUUCUCACAGCUUCUUGAAUGAUGUUCAUCUGUAUUAAACACAGAGACAAUGGCCAAUACCAACUGCCCUGUGUUUCUCCUGCUGCAGUACAUGAGAGCUAAGAUGGGCCUGCUGGAGACGGAGCUGUUGGAUCUGUGUGAUGACCACGGGGCUCUGAAGCUCUUUCUGUCCCAGCAGCCUCAGGAGUGUGCCAGCUGACUACUUCCUCACAUGAAAGGAGAACCACUAGAGUGGACAAGGCCUCUAUGAAACUAUUUCUAAUUGUCAAAAAAGGAGUUUCUAUCUAUACAUGGCUCUUCUUUGUUUUUAAGUAUUUGUUUAUCUUAUCAGGAAACCCAAAGGAUGGUGCCUAUGUUUCCAUCACCCCCUUAGUGGCCAACCCAGACCCUGCACUUCUGAAGAGCCUGCAGACUCAGACUGACAGUCUGGAGAGGGCUUGUCUCAGACAGCUCCACUCUCAGGAGGACCGCAUAGCCAAGGAGGUGCCCUCUCAGGCCCAACCCACACAGACUGUGCUCCAUCAAUUACUUGGGCAUAUAGAAUUUGAAAAAAAUAUAUAUACAGUACCAGUCAAAAAUUUGGACACACCUACUCAUUCAAGGGUUUUUCUUUAUUUUUACCAAUUUUCUACAUUGUAGAAUAAUAGUGAAGACAUCAUAACUAUGAAAUAACACAUGGAAUCAUGUAGUAACCAAAAAAGUGUUAAACAAAUCAAAAUAUAUUUUAGAUUCUUCAAAGUAGCCACCCUUUGCCUUGGUGACAGCUUUGCACACCCUUGGCAUUUUCUCAACCAGCUUCACCUGGAAUGCUUUUCCAACGGUCUUGAAAGAGUUCCCACAUAUGCUGAGCACUUGUUGGCUUCUUUUCCUUCACUCUGCGGUCCAACUCAUCCCAAUCCAUCUCAAUUGGGUUGAGGUCGGGUGAUUGUGGAGGCCAGGUCAUCUGAUGCAGCACUCCAUCACUCUCCUUGGUCAAAUAGCCCUUACACAGCCUGGAGGUGUGUUGGGUCAUUGUCACAGCCUGGAGGUGUGUUGGGUCAUUGUCCUGUUGAAAAACAACUGAUAGUCUCACUAAGCACAAACCACAUGGGAUGGCUUAUCAUUGAAGAAUGCUGUGGUAGCCAUGCUGGUUAAAUGUGCCUUGAAUUCUAAAUAAAUCACAGACGGUUUCACCAGAAUUACACCAUCACACCUCCUCCUCCAUGCUUCACAGUGGGAACCACACAUGCAGAGAUCAUCCGUUCACAUACUCUGCGUCUCACUAAGACACAGCGGUUGGAACCAAAAAUCUCAAAUUUGGACUCAUCAGACCAAAGGAGAGAUUUCCACUUGUCUAAUGUCCAUAGCUUGUGUUUCUUGGCCCAAGCAAGUCUCUGGUGUCCUUUAGUAGUGAUUUCUUUGCAGCAAUUCAACCAUGAAGUCCUGAUUCACGCAGUCUCCUCUGAACAGUUGAUGUUGAAAUGUGUCUGUUACUUGAACACUGUGAAGCAUUUAUUUGGGCUGCAAUUUCUGAGGCUGGUAACUCUAAUUAACUUAUCCUCUGCAGCAGAGGUAACUCUGGGUCUUCCUUUGCUGUGGUGGUCCUCAUGAGAGACAGUUUCAACAUAGCGCUUGAUGGUUUAUGACUGCACUUGAAGAAACUUUCAAUGUUCUUGAAAUUGUCCUGAUUGACUGACCUUCAUGUCUUAAAGUAAUGAUGGACUUUCAUUUCUCUUUGCUUUUUUGAGCUUUUCUUGCCAUAAUAUGGACUUGGUCUUUUACCAAAUAGGGCUAUCUUCUGUAUACCACCUCUACCUUGUCACAACACAACUGAUUAGCUCAAACACAUUAAGAAGGAAAGACAUUCCACAAAUGAACUUUUAACAAGGCACACCUGUUCAUUGAAAUGCAUUCCAAAGAAAUACCUCUGGAAGCUGGUUGUGAGAAUGCCAAGAGUGUGCACAGAUGACAUCAAGGCAAAGGGUGGCUACUUUGAAGAAUCUCAAAUCUAACAUAUAUUUUGAUUCGUUUAACACUUUUUUGGUUACUGCAUGAUUGUGUAUGUGUUAUUUCAUCGUUGUGAGGUGUUCACUCUUAUUCUACAAUGUAGAAAAUAGUCAAAUUAAAGAAAAACCCUUUAAUGAGUAGAUGUGUCCAAACUUUUGACUGGUACUGUAAGUCUUAGAAGUGUUUUUUAUUUAUUUUUGUGCCCAACUUUUGUGCUGUGUCCCAAAGGCUAAGAGCCAGGGCCGUGCGGUACAUAUUGACGCCCCUGACGACGAACGCUCCAAUCGCCGGACUUGAGGCAGGAAGAGCAGGAACUGAGAGAACCUGUCAAUCGUACAAUAAUUUAUGUAUAAAUGAAGGUGUAAAUAUGAUCUAGUGGACCCUGAGUCAUCAAAGUCUAAGCUAGCCAAUAGUCAUCAGUGUUGAAUAAUACAGUCGUCAUGAACCCUUCGUGGAACUCUUAAUCAAAACAACAAUCCUGGGAUUCUUGUGUGACCACAAUCAUACCAAACCAGACCCUGUUAUACACUGGAUUGUGUAGGGGUACAUUUUUGGGUUUGAUCCUCUUUCAGACCAAAGGUAAGUCCUGGGUCUGUAUUGCAUUGUGGAAAAUGCAAUGAUCAUUGUCAAUGAUUCACAGUGAACAAAGUUGUUGUACCAAAUAUGACCGGAGGGGAGAGAUAAGAUUCAACAGCCCAGUGAAGUAGUUUUUGUUUGUUUACGCAAGAGUGCCUAUGAUGGUGCUGCUAAUGUGAAUAAUUAUUCACAUUUUCAGUGGAAUAACUUGCUUGUCUUUACAGACUUGUCUGGAUAAAACAAUGUUUUUGAUCUGUAAUGGGUGCUAUAAAAAGCCAUAUUAUUCAUAUAUACAUAUAUUCUAGAAAUCUUAUGACUAUAGAUAGAAAUAGAAGUCUCUUAUCCAAUUGUUAAGCUCCCACUCCCAUGUCCAAUACGCUUUAAGUUCUGUUUUAAGAUGGUCCCUUGAAAUUAAGUGCCAGAUGAUGUCACUUUCUGCUUCUGUGAUUGGUGGGUAUGAAUACCUGUUUGUUACCAAAAUUUGAUGAAAAUAACUGAAUUGGGAUAAAUAUAUUUAGAAAUGGAGCUCUGACAUCACUGUUUAUUUUCCAAGAGUGAGAGAGUUUUGUUUUGUGUCUCUUAAUCUUUCUUUUCAGCUUGGUGUUAUGAUCAACAUACGUAUUUUGCUUUUUGAGGCUUUCCCCAAGAGUUAUUUUCUUGAAAUUAAUUUAUCUUGACCAGUGAGUGAACUUUAAAUUAGGGGUGGUAUGUUCAGGCUAACUGACUGAGGGACUGACUGAGUGAUGUGACAGUGUGCCAGUCUCUCUGCUAAAGGUUUAUUAAGCCACCUCUGGUGGGUGGCUUGGCACUGUGAAACAGGAAGUCAUGGGUGAAAUGCCAGCAGGUGGUUCCUCCCAGUGUUUGUGGUUUACUAUAUCUUCUAAGUUAUGUACAGGCCUGGAUCAGAUGGUUUCAAUGGCUCCAUAGUGUACGUGCCUGGUAACAUUUGGCACAUUGUUGUUGGUGGUGUGACUGCCUGGGGGGUUUUGAGGACGAGUUGCCAGAGUGUGGAGGCUAGCAUUUCGGCAGAAUAUUGUGAAGUAACUUGUUCUCUUGCCGCUGGUAGAUGGCUAUGAGCCAGAGUUUGAUUAGUAAAAGAUUACUACCUUCCCUUCUUAAAAUCACUGGAUUCAU